GUACCACUGCGCCUGCACUCUGUGCUCCUGCGCGGCUGAGGGCGGCACCCGGGGCCCGGGCUCCUCCACGUGCCGCUGGCAGAGUUAAAGCUCAGCCGGGUCCCCCUAGGGCUUUCCCUGGACUAGAAAGGGAGAAACGGGCCUCUCCCUUUUCGUUUGGUAUUGUUGCCCUAUAUUUAGGAGGACCUGGCUAUUUUUCUGCUGCUUAAAUGACCAGGCGAUACCCAUUUGGUUCCUAAUAUAAUAGUCUUCGGCAGGCAUGUGUACCUACAGCCCCUAUCGCAGAGCCGUUCGCUUGUAAAUUUCUACCUUAUAAUUUAGCGGUAGAGUCUAAUUGAUUUCAACCUAAUGCCUGCUGUUUGGUGCAUUAUUAAAGAUGUCUCGGUUACAAUCACCUAAAUAAUUUAAAUGUCUUCGAAAUGAUGCAGUUAUCAAGAGAAGGUGGACAGCAGGGCUGCCUUGCUCUUGCCACCUGUUUGGUUCAUGCUGACCUGUACCCAUUCUUCAUUAUUUCUCAGGAAUGUUUGUUGUUCCUUAACUAAUCAGUUUAGAACCAACCCUGCUGCCCUUCCUAAGCAGGUCUCCUGGGAAGCCCCAAACACCUGUCUGUGGAUUUGAGAAGUUGAUUUCUUUCUCUUCCUAAUUUUUGGCCAGAUGUGCACCAUCUGGGUCUGUGUAUGGUCCCUUCCAAGUUGCCCAGCCCUGUUAGGAUCUUUUGGCAUCACGCACUUAGCUGUGCUGAGAAGGGUUAUUCAGGGGUGUUGAAUUAGUCUGGAACAGACUGUCAGCCCAGGUUGUAAAUUAGGAGCUAUUUCUUUAGCUGUGUGAGGCUUCCCCACAAUAGCUUUCACAGACACUCAUGUUCCAUCAGCUAUUCCAGCAAUUUUUUAUGGUCUUUCCUUUUUCUCUUUUGUGAAGCAGUGAUUAGGGCUAAACUGCAUGCUGACAUUUGCUGGUCUUCAAGAAUUUCUUACAGAGAGGCUGGGGGAAAAAACUACAAUGUUGAGACAUUCCUUUUUUCCUUAGCAUCUGGGAACCUCAACUGGAAACCCUUCAAUCCUUCCCCUUUUCCUGAGUAUACUCCUGAGAGACGAGCAAGAAGUUUAUUAUCUACCAUGACGAGAGGCCCAGAGCCAGACGGUUCCAGAAGUGGGCGGGCCGGCUGCUCGGCUACGUCUUCAGGAGAAAGGUUCUUCCUAUGUUGCCUCCCGCCACUCCUGGGAGUCAUGUCUACUUAGGCUCGAUCCUCUUAUGGGGACUAGAUGGCUGCUGCAGGUCAUUUAAAAAAAAUACACGAGGACUUUUUCUUACAAAAGUGUGGGGAGUCCUUGAAGGGAGGGGGAACGAGGAGUUGUUUAAUGGGUAUCGAGUUUCAGUUUUGCAAGAUGGACAGGGUUCUGGAAAUUGGUUGCACAGUCAUGUGAAUGUGCUUAACACUAUUGAGCUGUACACUUAAAAAUUGUUAAUGUGGUAAGUUUUAUGAUAUGUGGAUUUUAUCACAAUUUAAAAAUGUGAAAAAUACAUUGGG
rnacentral:lncRNA from 1 species